rnacentral:rRNA from 1 species
GAUGAACGCUGGCGGCGUGCCUAAUACAUGCAAGUCGAGCGAACGGACGAGAAGCUUGCUUCUCUGCUGUUAGCGGCGGACGGGUGAGUGACACGUGGAUAACCUACCUAUAAGACUGGGAUAACUUCGGGAAACCGUAGCUAAUACCGGAUAAUAUUUUGAACCGCAGGGUUCAAAAGUUAAAGACGGUCUUGCUGUCACUUAUAGAUGGAUCCGCGUUGCAUUAGCUAGUUGAUAAGGUAACGGCCUACCAAGGCAACGAUGCAUAGCCGACCUGAGAGGGUGAUCAGCCACACUGGAACUGAGACACGGUCCAGACUCCUACGGGAGGCAGCAGUAGGGAAUCUUCCGCAAUGGGCGAAAGCCUGACGGAGCAACGCCGCGUGAGUGAUGAAGGUCUUCGGAUCGUAAAACUCUGUUAUUAGGGAAGAACAUAUGUGUAAGUAACUGUGCACAUCUUGACGGUACCUAAUCAGAAAGCCACGGCUAACUACGUG